GUCGGGAGUUAGGAAUGCAAGGAUGUUAAUAGCGUUCUUGCUUGACUAAGGCUCCGGAGGAAGCCACGGCUAACUCUGUGCCAGCAGCCGCGGUAAUACAGAGGCGGCAAGCGUUGUUCGGAAUUAUUGGGCGUAAAGAGCACGUAGGCGGCUGUGUAAGUCGGUUGUGAAAGCCUUCCGCUCAACGGAAGAACGGCAUCCGAUACUGCAUGGCUUGAGUGUGGGAGGGGAGAGUGGAACUUCUGGU
rnacentral:rRNA from 1 species